CAUGAUUGGUGAAAAAGAUAUAAAAAUACCAGCUGAUCUUUUUCACCUAUCAUGUAUUAUAUUGUAGGCCUACACUGCGACGUUGCAAUAUCGUAGGCCGCGGCCUUGUAUUAGAGGUGGCUAUGUGCUACAGUAUACCAAUUCAUUGAUAUUCAUAAAUUCAUUGAAAAUAUUAAUUCAAGGCUAGAUCACUGUAAAUCAUUCAAUAUAAUUUUGAUUGAUACACUGUAUAUCAAUCAGUUAAUAUACUUAUCAACUGAUUCAAAAUUUCUUUAAAAUAUUUAUUAUUAUUUAUUUAUUUGAAAAUAUACAUGUUGAUUGAAGGCUUCAAUCGAUAAUCAGAACUUAUUGAAAAUAUUGAUUGUGGCCUCAGUUGAAGCUUAUUGAAUAUUUGUAGAGGAAUCUUGUUUUCUUAUCAUUGAAAUAAACAGUAAAUUACUGUGGUAAUUUGGACAAGACGUCCAAGCUACUUAUUGUUAAUUGUUUUAAACUACAUCAAAGUGUACUUUUAUCAGGUUCAAAUAUAAUUGGAAUACAGGUAUAUUCAGACUAUAUUUGAAUUCAAAUACAACUUUGUAAUUACUAUAACUUGAAAUUUACUUUUAUUUGGUUCAAAUAUAACUGAAAUACAGGUUUAUUCAGACUAUAUUUGAAUUCAAAUACAAGUUUGAAACUAUAAACAUUAUUAUUUUCUUUACAGUUGUGUUGUGAGUGAUGUUGUGGUACUUUUCCAUAAUGAAAACACAAAUUUGAAAUUGUCAACAACUUUUUAUUAUAAUAAAAUAUUAUAAUAUAAUUUAUACAGAAUCUGGUUUCGUGGCUUUAAAGAUGUGGCUGGUAAAGCCACGAAACCAGGUUCUGUAUAUAUUAUAAUAUUUUAUAAUAGUAAGAAGUGGUUGACAAUUUAAAUUUGUGUUUUCAUUAUUAUUUUCUGUUGAAAGAAACGUUUGUAAGUUAGUAAGAUUAUGGCAAACAAAGGUACAAACAAAUAUAAAAUACUGUUAUGUUGAAAUGUGAAAACGUUUUGGAAAAAAUACUGAAUAAAAAUGUUAUUAGUUUAGAAAUUGA